rnacentral:misc_RNA from 1 species
AGGCGUGGGUAAAACCACCCUCCUAAAGAAAGUUAACAACCAAUUCCUAAAAACAGACCAUGGUUUCUUUGCAGUCAUUUGGAUUGAUGUGUCCAAGCAAGCAAAUGUGGAAAAAAAUUCAGGAAGCUAUUUUCAACAAAUUUAUUAUCCCUGAGCUGUUGUGGAAAGACAAAGAUGAACAAACGAAAGCUCGAGUGAUAAUGAAGUGCUUAACAGGGAAAAAGUUUGUUCUGUUGCUGGAUGAUCUAUGGAAGCAUUUAGAUCUCCAAAGAAUCGGGAUUCCUUCCUCGGAUAAAGCCAAUGGUUCCAAAGUAGUGUUCACAACCCGAUCAGAGGAAGUCUGUGGCAGUAUGAGAGCUGAACGAAGAAUUAAAGUGGAAUGCUUGUCGCCUAAGGAAGCAUUGCAGUUGUUUCGAACGUACGUAGGAGAAGGCACGCUAAAUUCUCAUCGAGAUAUAUCAAAGCUUGCUGAGAUGGUAGCUCAAAAGUGCCAAGGAUUGCCACUAGCUCUCAUCACCAUCGGACGAGCUAUGAAUGGUCGGAGGAAUCCUGACGAAUGGGAGGACGCACUUAAAAGCUUGCAGAAUUAUCCAUCGGAUUUUCAUGGUAAGGGAGAUGACAUCUUUCCUAUUCUCGAGUUCAGCUAUGAUAGCUUGAGAGAUGAUACUCUUAAAUCAUGUUUCCUAUAUUGUUCCAUUUUCCCAGAGGAUUAUAUUAUUGAGAAAGAUGAACUUUUUGAGCUCUGGAUCAGGGAGGGGUUUUUAGUUAAGUAUUAUGACAGAUAUGAUGCAAGAAAAGCAGCAGAGUCUACUCUUACAAGUCUAAAGUUUGCGUGUCUAUUGGAAGAUGGUGUAAUACCACAAGAUUGGACUGGGGAUCCCCAAGAUUAUAUUAGGAUGCAUGAUGUGAUCCGUGAUAUGGCCUUGGGAAUGGCUUCCAAACAUGAGAUAAAAAUGGAGGUGCUUGAAGAUGCUGCUUUGUUUAAACUUAAAGCAGAAGGAUUUGAUGAGAAAUGGAAGGAAGUAAAAAGAUUAUCAUUGUUGGGUAAGAGUUAUGAAAGUUUUUCUGAAUCCAUGUCGCCAGCUUUUCCCCAUCUCCUAACUUUUUUUGUUAGGUACACUAAGCUGAAUCGAUUUCCUGGUGGGUUCUUUCAACAAUUGCACACCUUGAACAUUUUGGACUUGUCAAGAAAUUGGGACUUAACUGAGUUACCAAGUGGGAUUGGAGUAUUAAUCAAUUUGCAGCAUCUUAAUCUCUCACAUACUCGCAUAAAAUCGCUACCAUUGGAAGUUAAAAACUUGAGAAAAUUAAAGAGUUUGCUAAUGGAUGGUACAUACGAUCUUGCAAAUAUCCCAAGAGGAGU